CGGGGUGUAGCUCAGUUUGGCUAGAGCGCCUGCUUUGGGAGCAGGAGGUCGCAAGUUCAAGUCUUGUCACCCCGA
rnacentral:tRNA from 1 species